AUGGAGAGAGGCGGCGCAGAGGCGGUUGCAUCGUCGACGGCUCCCCAGAGCAGAGUACCCUUGGGCGCCGACGGGCGUCCCCUCGACGGCGUCGUGCGUGCUGAACUGCUUUGGAAAUUGAAGCAUGGCGAUGGAUCCAUCUACAGAAGCGACGGUUAUUGGGCUAAAGUUUACCGUCUCUAUGAUACCAGUGAGACUUGUCUGGAGCCAAUGAUGACUGUGCCUUAUGACAGUUGCAUGCCUAACUGGAGGGUCUGUGGAAGGCAUUCAUAUUGCGCCAUGAUGCAGAUAUUCUCGCUGAAGCUAGCUAACACAUCGUAUGUUGGUGACCCAGUUGAGUUUUAUGGCUACGUGGCUGUCAGAGAUCUGUUGAACCCUAUGCGCAACUAUGCCUUCAACCGUACAAGAGAUGAUCCUUUCAUUGUGGGGCAUUAUGGCCUCAUACAGAUGUCUGGCCCUAAGAGAGGCAUCAGAAUGCACGCUACUGUGGUAAUUGAGUUUGACCUGAAGAUUAAGACAGGAGGAGAAGAAGGUGGUGAUCUAGAGCUCAUUGAUGGUGUUGCCCAAUUCAGCGACAGAGGCACAAGCCACGCUAGGGUAAUCACAUGA
rnacentral:rRNA from 1 species